GUGGGGAAUAUUGGACAAUGGGCGCAAGCCUGAUCCAGCCAUGCCGCGUGAGUGAUGAAGGCCUUAGGGUUGUAAAGCUCUUUCACCGAUGAAGAUAAUGACGGUAGUCGGAGAAGAAGCCCCGGCUAACUUCGUGCCAGCAGCCGCGGUAAUACGAAGGGGGCUAGCGUUGUUCGGAAUUACUGGGCGUAAAGCGCACGUAGGCGGAUAUUUAAGUCAGGGGUGAAAUCCCAGAGCUCAACUCUGGAACUGCCUUUGAUACUGGGUAUCUCGAGUAUGGAAGAGGUGAGUGGAAUUCCGAGUGUAGAGGUGAAAUUCGUAGAUAUUCGGAGGAACACCAGUGGCGAAGGCGGCUUACUGGUCCAUUACUGACGCUGAGGUGCGAAAGCGUGGGGAGCAAACAGGAUUAGAUACCCUUGUAGUCC
rnacentral:rRNA from 1 species